AUUGAGUUCACCCAAUAUUUAUACAUCCUCUUCAAUAAGAAUACAGAAAGUUUUUUUUGGCAAGACAUUGACACCAAAAGACAAAAGCAACUUUUUCUGCGCUCCUCAUCCGGUAACGAGGAGCUUCUUCUGUUUCUCUGAACUGAAAUGUACUACAUUUGAACAAACAAACAAACAACCUCCUGUAAACGAACUUUAAUUUCAGGUACAAAACUAAUAUACUAUUUACUAUCAUCAUCGUCAUCAAACAAGCACUUUGUCUGACAAAAGUAUUAGUCAUACCCCCAUUUCGAACAAAAUUAAUACUGCCAAAUCCUAUGCCACUAUGCAAGUAUACAAGAACAAAAGAGAACCUACCGAAAAAACGAGAGAGAAUCUAAUUGUUCAUGCCCAAGACUACUACUUCAACCAAGUAUGACAAACAUAAUAAUGUGUGUUCCCAAAAUUAUCCUUCAUUGAAUCUAUACAACACUUUACCAAUGGUGGAUGUCUUGUAAAAUUUGUAUCAUCGGCCAAAUUUUCAUGUUCUGGCACUCCAAGUAAUUUCUUCAUUUUGACAUCCAGCAAAUCAGGAGGAAAACCAUUGAAAAAUUCCACCUGAGAUCAUUGCACAAAUCAAGUCAACUAUACAUUUUGAUUAAAUAACAAACUAUUUUAUAUUAUUCACAUGGCCUGUGAGUUUCAAGCAGAUGCAUAAUAUAUAGUAAAUACCAACUCUUUCCCUAAUAAAUAGGCAUGAAUUCUUGCUGUUGGGUCCUCUAGUGUCAAUCUCAUCUCAUGUUCACCCCUCGCAGCAGAUGAAUGCAAGUCUUCAGCUUGAAAGGGAUGGAUUGCCAUCACACGAACAACACAACAAAAUAUACUGUCGUCCUAAAACAGUUAAAAUUAGAAACUCGUAUUAAAGCAAUUUCAACAAUCAAGGAAAUAGUAUAUGUUUCAAAUAAUAUAACUACACUAAUAGGAAAAUGAUUUCAAAAUGCCCCUCUUAUUUAAACUUAAAAUAAUAUAGUUUUAAUUAAAAUUUGGAAAGAAAUUGACAAGAAAACUCAACAGUAGAAAUUGCUUAAGAACCUUUUCAUAUGAAAGAAUAUCCAUCAACGAGACAAAUUGAAUGUUGUCCAUCUCAUUAUAAUCUGUCACAGUUAAGUCAUCAUCAAUGCUCCAUAAGGGUAACCGUCCAAGUUCCAAUCUUCUCUCUUGAAAUUUCCUUUUACACUCCACAACAAUAAUGUCAUCAUCAGCAAGAAGUCUAACUCUGGAAAAAGAAUUCAAAGCACCAUACCACAUCCCUGACAACACUUUAGCACCCACAUUGCGGAUUCUCACCCAUUUGCCAACUCCAUGAAACUGUAGACCAAGAUUUUCAUGAGAUUUAUCAGCCAUCACUCUUAAAAUAGUUCCAACACGAUAAAACUUGGAAAGGGUGUCUUGAUCUAAUGCAAAUGAUUCCACUUGCAAUGGAAGCGGAUUCUUCUCCUCAUCCUUGAGUCUGUGACCCAAAAAUAAAAUUAAAUAAGAAAAAAAAAAGAUAAUAAAUGCGUGUGCAUGCCAAAAUAUGUCUGUAAAUUGAAGAUGGAGGUAAAACUAUAAUAAGUAUAUUCCAUUUAAAAAAAUGAUUAAAGAAAAAAGAAUGAAAUCAAAUCAUUUAUUUAAUCCAAAGAAUGAUCUUGUACAGAAAUGCUACAUAACAAUGAGAUAAAAAAAUAAAACCUUCCACAGGAGAGUUGGGAACAAGCUAGGGAUAAUAAACAAGAGUUAGUCAUAAAAUGAAAGUAAAAAAAAUCUUUCAGAAAAGAAACCCUCCAAUAAUCCCAACCACAACAACUCAACUAAGCACCAACACCUAUCUGGCUCCAAUUAGUUACACAAAACAUUUCCCCUUUAUUUCACUAAGUCUCUUUCAUAUGAUGCUCAAGAAGUACAUUUUUUUAAGCACCAAUGCCCACAGAGUGUUAUUUUUUCUUAAAUGCACAGAAAAAUGAUUGCAGCACAUAGAUCUCUCAAGUUUUCCACCAGGUCUUAAUCUAAGCUAAUGUGCUUUACAAUUAUAACUGAAAAUUAUAAAACAUAAAAACAUAUACUUACUUUCCAUCAAGGCUUAAUAAAGGGGCAUCACUCCCAUCCCACACAAAGAGAAUCCAUAGGCCUCUAGAAACAUCAAAGGAGGCAUGCAAAACCUUAUAUCCAUUUGAGGGAGUGAGUGAGAGAUAUUAAUUAUUGAAUGCCUCUUACAAGCUAAAGUAUUUAUUCAAACUGAAUCAACAAAGGGCACCUUUAGUUGUUAAAUGUCACAAUAUACAAAUUACCUUGCAUACAAGGUCAAAAUAGGUAUCACUUGAAAUGUCUUUCACUGAUACCAGGUACUCACUUUUGCCUACAGUACAUGGAUAAUGAUAAAUUAGUAUUAGAGAUCGCUUGACCAUCAACUCAUGUCCGAAUAAAUGGAAUGAACAUCAACCCAAGUCCCUCAGCUGAGAAGGGUUCUGAUCUCUCAUAUUACCCACUCAUAUGUCAACAGAUUUGCAAAUAAUAGGUUUCGGGCCAUGUCUGGAAGAUGGUUGGAUAAAAAGGAAAGAAAGAUUAACAAAUUUUAUGCAGGCUGGUAAAUAAGAAAGAUGGAUAGUAAGCAGGAAAGAAAGACUAAAAACUGAAUGCAUUUCUUUCCUGGGUGCUGAAUGUGAAAAGCCACAUCUAUUUUAAAAAAUCUGCACUAAUAAAAUGAAGUACUGCUUUCAAGUUCAGGAAGAAAGUGAACAGGAAAAAAGAGUAGAAAAUGCCUAUCAGAAAAGUAAGGAAAACCAUAUGACCCAUAAUUUAGCAAGCCAUACAGCUGCGGAUUGAACUAGAAUUGAGAAUGAAAUGAAGGAACUCAAACAGCUGUCCCAUGCAGUUAGCAUAAGAGUAAACCAAAUUAGGAAAAAAAAAAAAAAGAAACAAUAAAAGUUCUGGUAGACUUACACUGGUACUAAGCCCUUCCAUGCAGAGUGUAGCCUUGUCUAGACUCUAAAAAAAUAUCUGGUCCAAUCCUUGUAUACUGGAUCCACAGCAAAACAGUGCAUAUCAAUAGACUUGCAAAUAGAAAGAGCAAAUUCAUGAGCCUCGAGGCUAGUUCCCGCUGCUGUCGAACCCAAGGAUGCACCUUUUCUCUAUCCUUCUCAAUCUCCUGCCUCAAAGACAGAUAUGACAUUGUCCCUAAAAAGGGAAUGCAGCUAAGAUAGAAUCAGUGAAAAGGUGAAAGAGAAAAGGGUCAAUGAGGCAAAAGAGCGAAGUGGUAACCCUUGAUUUUUUUAUGUUUUUUUCAAUAUUUAUUUAAAUGAAAAAAUUAAAAUUUAUUUAAAUUUUAAAAAUUUAUUAUCACAUUAAAUCUAUAGAUGCUUAAUUUAUUUUGGUUAUAAAGUUAACUUGGAUUUUUUAAAAUGAAAAAUAUAAAGUUUAAUUAUAAUCAGCAUAAAAAAUCAAUAAAGAAGGCUACAGAUUUAAAAUAACGGAAUCUAUUUAAGGAAUUAAUAGUCCUAACCAAAAUCCAUUGGCAAAUAUACUGAGACAUCCUUGCCUCCACUGUUAUGAGCACCACCUAUUUACCAAGAGAUUCAUUUUCUAAACAAAAACUAACCUUUGCUGGUGUGAUGAGGCCCUUGGCCUCUGCACCUGUGAUCUUGCUGUAACAAUAUUUCAAUAAAAAUUUCUUGAUAUAAGUAAUAUUUACUUAAUUUGAUCACUUAUUUUACAAGAAGAGAACUUAGUUUUUUUCUCUUAGCAGCUAAAUCUCAAGCCACUUUCAAGUAUAGAAGUAGAAGCUUACAUAGCUUUUUUAAGACGUAUAAGAGCUGUCUAUGCUCAACAGGGGGAUAAGGGAUCUGCGCUUGGCUUGUAUAACGCAAUGCUGGGUGAAGUGCUUGUACCUAUGAAGGAAGAUUUGAGAAGUGUGAAGGAAAGAGACCCAACCUACACAAGCUACGUGCACUGUUUCUUGAUUUUCACUGGGCUUCUGGCAUGCGAAGCCUAAUUAUUAUGAUAUUCAUUGAAAUAUUAAGGCAUUUAAAAACAUGUUAAAAGACUAUCAAUUAUCAUAAAAAUGAAUGAGAAAGAAGUUAUCAAAUUCAGAAAAUAUUCAUACCCUUUGCAGCUGAUUCUCCAUCUGAUCCCUCAGGAAUACAUCCAAUUAUAUUAUACAUGAUAUACAUUUCCACAAGCUAAAGCAAUAAACGGAAUAUUAUAUGCCAGGGAUUUCCACUACCUAACCCCUAUGAUCUCUGUCAGCCAAUGCUAAAGGAAAUCAGACAGGUUAACAUGUCUGACUGAAAUUCAAAGAAGGGAUAACAAAUCUUCCAAACGUGACUGCCAAGACCUGGAAUAACUUUCAUAUCAUGACUAAAAGCAUCAGUAUCCCCACCAGGAAUAUUCCUAAAACUCUAAAUCACAUGUGACUCAUCUUACAUAGCAUCAAAUAUAGACUGAAAUAAUAAUUUUAAUAAUCUAAAAUUGAAGAAAGUUAAAAUGCAAUAAUAAUAAGGGGAAAUUACCAAAAAAAUCAUUUACUUUCAUAUUUUUUCAAUUACCCUAUACUUUAAUAAUUACCAAUUAAAAACUACACUUUGGAAAGUUGAACAACUGUACCCAACCACCAGAGAGAGAGAGAGAGAGAG
rnacentral:misc_RNA from 1 species